rnacentral:rRNA from 1 species
GACGUAGGGCGCGAGCGUGUCCGGAUUUAUUGGGCGUGAAAGAGCUCGUAGGCGGCUUGUCACGUCGAAUGUGAAAACUUGGGGCUCAACUCCAAGCUUGCAUUCGAUACGGGCAGGCUAGAGUUCGGUAGGGGAGACUGGAAUUCCUGGUGGUAGCGGUGAAAUGCGCAGAUAUCAAGGAGGAACACCGGUGGCGAAGGCGG